rnacentral:lncRNA from 1 species
GUGGAGUACUCCAGUUGGACUUUGGAAGUUCACCUCUGAUGUAGGGGGGUUUAUUUAGAUUUGUUAUUUUUAUUAUUCUAGAUUUAGAUUUGUUAUUUUUAUUAUUCUAGAUUUGCUAUUUUUAUUAUUCUAGAUUUGUUAUUUUUAUUCUAGAUUUAGAUUUGUUAUUUUUAUUAUUCUAGAUUUGCUAUUUUUAUUAUUCUAGAUUUGUUAUUUUUUUAUUUCCCUUACUAUUUAAACCAAAUCAUUGUAGCCUUUAGAGGCAGUUAUUUUUCAUCCAAUAAAAUAUUCGAGUUAUAUCUCAAUUUUCGGUGGACUCCGAAAUCCUAUUUUGACAAGUUCGUGCUUGCGACUCGUCUUUGUUAAUCAGGUUUAGCGUUUGGCUAACCUAGCGCUUCCGUUCUGCGUCAGUUGGUAUCAGAGCAGGUUUCCCCUGUUCUUUCGUGAAGUGAUCAGAUGGGAGAUCAACCGGUGACGAAAACAGAGUUUGAUGGUGCCAUAGCGGCUUUAACCGCGGCCAUCACCACUCUGACAACACAGGUAACAACGUUAUCCAACAACAACAGAAUCAAUCUGAACAGGGGAGGAGGUCGUGGAAACAAUCAUACGAUUGAUGAUUCGGAUUCAGAAGAGGAGGAGGUCGUGACUGAAAAAAGAAACGAUCGUGACAAUCACCAUGAUUACCGCGUGAAAGCAGAUAUUCCAUUGUUUUACGGAACGAUGGGAGUAGAGGAAUUUUUAGAUUGGCAGAUUGAUGUUGACAGAUUUUUCGACGUCAUGGACGUCCCUGAGCACAAGCAGGUUAAGAUGGUGGCAAUCAGGCUGAAAAGUACCGCCGCUGUCUGGUGGGACAGACUCGUCGUUCAGAGGACGAGGCAGAGAAAGAAUCCCAUUCGAACUUGGCGGAAGAUGAAACAAUUGAUGCUUGAGAGAUUUUUACCUGAAGAUUAUGAACAAAUUCUGUAUAAAAUGUAUAUUGAAUGUGUUCAAGGCAAGCGAUCAGUGACAGAGUAUACCGCUGAAUUUCUGCGUUUUUCUGAACGUAAUGAAUUGGGUGAAUCAGAAAAUCAGAAAGUGGCUCGUUAUAUCAGUGGAUUGAAAGGAUCCUUGCAGGAGAAGAUGGGUUUGCAAACCGUUUGGACCGUUGCUGAAGCGUCCAACCUAGCUUUGAAGGCAGAAUUGAUGGAGAAAUCGCCCAGAAAUUUCUCCUCCUUCAGAAAGUCUUCUCCCCAGAAUAAUACUGAAUCAUCAGGUGACAAAGAGAAAAGUGCAGCAGCCAGGGAUUCUACUCCUGGUAAUAAGGCAACUGGUAGUUCUAGCAGUGCACCACAAGGCAAAGCCCCAGCCCAAAAACAAAACAAUCCAUAUGUCAAACCCACUAUGGAUACUUGUUUUAGAUGUAAUGGGAAAGGUCAUCGAUCCAUUGUUCAUUAUAUUCGCUUUCAGUCCUUGGCUAAGCUAAUUAGAUCGAUUUAUUAUAUUAAACUUUGAUCUCUUUUACUUGCUAUGCAGAGGUAGAAUUUGCUGAAGAAGAAUCUGAUGAAAGGGUGAAUUUUGUGUUGCAGCGGAUGUUACUAGCAACUAAAGAAGAAGGACAGCGCAAAAACUUAUUCAAGACUCAUUGUUCUGUCAAGAAUAAAGUAUGUGAUCUCAUAAUAGAUAAUGGGAGCACAGAGAACUUAGUGUCACAAAAAUUGGUGAAUUAUUUUAAGUUGCCCGCAGAGCCUCAUGAGAAGCCAUAUGCCCUUGGCUGGGUCAGCAAGGGAUCCCAGGUACGAGUGACGCUGUCCUGCAGAGUUCCCAUCUCCAUUGGUAAACACUAUAAAGAAGAGGUAUCUUGUGAUGUUAUUGAUAUGGAUGUUUGUCAUAUUUUACUUGGUAGGCCUUGGCAGUUUGAUAAUGAUAUUACUUACCGGGGACGGGAUAAUGUGAUGAUGUUUACUUGGGGCACUCAUAAAAUUGCUAUGGCUCCUAUCCUACAUUUUGAUAAGAAUCCGAAAGACAAGAAAUCUAGUUUCCUAGUGAUGACUCAGGAUGAGAGGAAACUUGAUAAGGCUGUCAGAGAAGCUAAUUGUUUUUGUCCAGUUGUUUUCAAAGGGGUGAUGAGCGCUGUGAAAGAAGAGGUCCCAAUUCCAAGAGAAAUCUUAGAAAUUCUAAGGGAUUUCAACGAGUUGAUCGCAGAUGAGCUGCCAAAUGACUUACCGCCCAUGAGGGAUAUUCAGCACCAGAUUGAUUUGAUUCCAGGUUCAAGCCUACCAAACCUUCCUCAUUAUCGCAUGAGUCCUAAGGAGAAUGAGAUUUUAAGGGAGCAAAUUGAGGAUUUACUAAGAAAGGGCUUUAUCCGUGAAAGCAUGAGUCCUUGUGCCGUUCCAGUCCUUUUGGUGCCUAAGAAAGGAAAUCAGUGGAGGAUGUGUGUUGAUAGCAGAGCCAUCAACAAGAUCACUAUCAAGUAUCGUUUUCCAAUUCCCCGUUUAGAAGACAUGCUUGAUGAAUUGGCAGGAUCCAAGGUGUUCUCAAAGAUAGAUCUGCGAAGUGGGUACCAUCAGAUAAGAAUUAGACCUGGAGAUGAAUGGAAGACAGCUUUUAAGAGUAAGGAUGGACUUUAUGAGUGGUUGGUGAUGCCUUUUGGGUUGUCUAACGCCCCUAGCACCUUCAUGAGAUUGAUGAAUCAGGUUCUGCGUCCUUUUAUUGGUUCCUUUGUGGUGGUUUAUUUUGAUGAUAUUCUGAUUUAUAGCAAGAUCAAGGAAGAACACCUGGAACAUGUGAGGCUAGUUUUACAAGUGUUACAAGAGAAUCAGCUGUACAUUAACCUGAAAAAGUGCACGUUCAGUACCAACAAAUUACUUUUCUUGGGGUUUGUAGUUGGUGAAGAUGGAAUUCAGGUGGAUGAAGAGAAAGUGAGGGCUAUCAGAGACUGGCCUGCACCUACAUCAGUUACUAAAGUACGUAGUUUUCAUGGGCUGGCUACUUUCUACAGAAGAUUUAUUAGAGAUUUCAGCACUAUCACUGCACCAAUCACUGAAUGUUUGAAGAAAGGAAAAUACAAUUGGGGUUUUGAGCAGGAGCAGAGUUUUGCCUUGAUUAAAGAAAAGUUGUGUACCGCACCUGUCUUAGCUCUUCCUGAUUUUGAUAAAGUGUUCCAAGUUGAGUGCGAUGCUAGCGGAAUUGGAAUAGGGGCUGUGUUGUCUCAGGAGAAGAAACCAAUUGCUUUCUUUAGUGAAAAGUUGAGUGAAGCUCGUCGAAAAUGGAGUACUUAUGAUCAAGAAUUUUAUGCUGUUUUUAGAGCUCUUCGCCAGUGGGAGCACUACUUGAUUCAUAGAGAAUUCAUUUUAUUCACUGAUCACCAGGCUCUGAAAUUUCUCCAUAGUCAGAAACUGAUCAACAAGAUGCAUGCUCGGUGGGUUAGUUUUCUGCAAAAGUUCCCUUUUAUCAUUCAACAUAAAUCUGGAGCCCUUAACAAAGUAGCUGAUGCUUUGAGUAGGAGGGAUUCGUUGCUUGUCACUUUAGCACAGGAGGUAGUAGGUUUUGAAUGUCUGAAGGAGUUGUAUGAGAAUGAUGUUGAGUUCCAAGAAUUAUGGGCUAAAUGUCGUGAGCAUCCUUGUGACGAUUUUCAUGUUCGUGAAGGGUUUCUUUUUAAGGGGAACCGACUGUGCAUUCCAUGUUCGUCCUUGAGGGAGAAAUUAAUUAGGGAUCUACAUGGUGGUGGUCUGAGUGGGCAUAUGGGGAGGGAUAAAACCAUUGCUAGUCUGGAAGAAAGGUUUUAUUGGCCACACCUGCGAAAAGAUGCUGGAACCAUAGUCAAGAAGUGCUAUACUUGCCAAGUUUCUAAAGGCCAGUCACAAAAUACUGGUCUUUACAUGCCUCUACCCAUUCCUGAUGACAUCUGGCAGGAUUUAGCUAUGGAUUUUGUGUUGGGUCUACCUCGUACCCAGCGAGGCGUGGAUUCCGUGUUUGUGGUUGUAGACCGAUUCUCCAAGAUGUCCCAUUUUAUUGCUUGUAAGAAGACAGCUGAUGCAUCCAACAUAGCCAAACUGUUUUUCAGGGAGGUUGUGCGUCUUCACGGAGUUCCAAAAUCCAUUACUUCAGACAGGGACACCAAAUUCCUCAGUCAUUUCUGGAUCACCUUAUGGAAGUUAUUUGAUACAUCACUGAAAAGGAGUUCUACAGCUCAUCCCCAAACUGAUGGACAAACUGAGGUCACAAACAGAACUCUGGGAAAUAUGAUUCGAUGUGUUUGUGGUGACAAACCGAAGCAGUGGGAUUUGGCUUUGCCUCAAGUUGAGUUUGCUUAUAACAGCACUAUGCAUUCUGCUACUGGAAAAACACCUUUCUCACUUGUUUACACCUCUGUUCCUAGGCACGUGGUUGAUUUGAUUAAGCUGCCUAAGGCUCCUGGAUUUAGUGUGGCUGCUGAAAAUAUGGCUGAAGAGAUUAUAGCUGUGAAAGAUUCUGUCAAGUCCAAAUUGGAAGCUACUGGAUUGAAAAACAAAAUUGCGGCAGAUAAAUGCCGAAGAGUCAAAGUGUUCAAUGUGGGAGAUGAAGUGAUGGUGUUUCUGCGAAAAGAAAGAUUUCCAGUUGGUACCUACAGCAAGCUGCAGCCUCGCAAAUAUGGCCCGUUCCAAGUGACUCGCAAGAUCAAUGACAAUGCUUAUGUCGUGGCCCUUCCAGCAUCAAUGAACAUUUCUAACACUUUCAAUGUGGCAGAUAUAUAUGAGUACCAUGCAGAUGAAGUCCUUUAUCGAGAUGAGAACUCGGGGUCGAGUUCUUUUGAGGUGGAGGAGACUGAUGUAGGGGGGUUUAUUUAGAUUUGUUAUUUUUAUUAUUCUAGAUUUAGAUUUGUUAUUUUUAUUAUUCUAGAUUUGCUAUUUUUAUUAUUCUAGAUUUGUUAUUUUUAUUCUAGAUUUAGAUUUGUUAUUUUUAUUAUUCUAGAUUUGCUAUUUUUAUUAUUCUAGAUUUGUUAUUUUUUUAUUUCCCUUACUAUUUAAACCAAAUCAUUGUAGCCUUUAGAGGCAGUUAUUUUUCAUCCAAUAAAAUAUUCGAGUUAUAUCUCAAUUUUCGGUGGACUCCGAAAUCCUAUUUUGACAAGUUCGUGCUUGCGACUCGUCUUUGUUAAUCAGGUUUAGCGUUUGGCUAACCUAGCGCUUCCGUUCUGCGUCAACCUCCCAGGUCUUCAUUACCACUCAAAGAUAGUAUUUGAAGAUUGGGUAAAGAGAGGAUGUCACUCGAUAGAUUCCCUUGCGAUUUGGUGUCUCCAAGACUAAGAGAGAUGAGAGAGGAAGACAGAUUGGUUAGCAAUGACAAAGAGCUUUCUCCGAUAGAAGACAUGUCCACGCCAUC